UACGUAGGGGGCAAGCGUUGUCCGGAAUUAUUGGGCGUAAAGAGCGCGUAGGCGGUCCGAUAAGUCGGCUGUGAAAGUCAGGGGCUCAACCCUUGGAAGCCGGCCGAUACUGUCGGACUAGAGUCCGGAAGAGGCGAGUGGAAUUCCCGGUGUAGCGGUGAAAUGCGCAGAUAUCGGGAGGAACACCAAUGGCGAAGGCAAUCCCCUGGGCCUGCACUGACGCUCAUGCACGAAAGCGUGGGGAGCAAACAGG
rnacentral:rRNA from 1 species